GGGGUCUGUGUCUCUCUGUAUGCUGCUUUUGCUGGGGACAGAACAGGAAUGGAGUCUUAGAACUUUUAAACCGAAGGAAAAUGCAGGCUAUUCCUUCUCCUGUGUAUCCUCCGCCACGCCCAGGAACGUCUCCCUCUUCUUCGGGAACGGGGUCUUUGUGAAGAUUCAAUCCCAGACCUGCUCUACGAACAGCUGCAAUACCUGGUUCCCUUCUGUCUCUACGUCUCUGUAUCCCUCCCUGCUUGUUCCCAGUGGCCCAGGGAACGACUGAGUGUCAAACUGGGCCGAUCAUCAACACCGUCUACACGGGAGGCCGGUGCCCGAUCUGCAUUGCCCCGGGUCAGAGCAGCUGUUCCAGCACGGAGACCCUGCAGUGCGAGGGCCGUGCCAGCCAGUGCAUUUCCAUCAGCGGGCAGAUCUCGGAAGAUAACAUCACGAUACCCUUUGCAGCCAGCAGCUGCGCUACCCCGAAUGCCUGCGAACUCAAGAAGGGCGAGAUUCUGAACUCGGGAGUGUUCACCUACACAAUAGCACAGACUGAGUGUUACACGCCCAGCAGUGCUCAGCGGAUGCUGGGCCCCGUCGUCCUGGGCAGCAUCUUGCCCAGUCUGGCUGGGCUCCUGGCAGUGAAAUUCCUCUCCUAACGCCCCCUCUGUGUUGCCCCCCCUCCGCCAGGGGGAGCCACCCCACAGCUGAAUGAUGCCCUCGUGGUCCGUGGGUCUCUCUCCUCUCCCCACACCCACCCACGCCUCAGUUUCCCCAUCUGUGCCCAAAGGAUAAUGAAGCUGAACUGCUUUUGCAAAGAUCCAGGGAGUCAGGGCCCCAGGCAAAGCCCAUUACAGCCAGAGUGGGAGGAGGGGGCGCGUGUGUCUCUGGACAGACUGUGACGUGCUGGGGAACAGCGCUGGGUCUUAUUGUAUUCCACAGCAGCCCCUGAGAGACCAGCGUGGGGACAGAACUGGGGACAGCCUGGGCUCCCAGCCCCCACUGCUCGACCCCAUCAGCCCCCACUCCUCUCCCAGAGCUGGGAUAGAACCCAGGAGUCCUGGCUCCCAGCCACCCCGCUCUAACCACGGCACACCACUCCCUUCGGAGAGCCAGGGAUAGAACCCAGGAGCCCUGACACCCAGCACUCCCUGAUUUAACGCUAUCUAUUUCCAGAAG